GAUGAACGCUAGCUACAGGCUUAACACAUGCAAGUCGAGGGGUAACGAGAGGAAAGCUUGCUUUCCUUGUCGACGACCGGCGCACGGGUGAGUAACGCGUAUCCAACCUGCCCCCAACUAGGGAAUAACCUUGCGAAAGUAAGACUAAUACCCUAUAAUUUCCUCAGAUGACAUCUGACGAGGAAUAAAGAUUUAUCGGUUGUGGAUGGGGAUGCGUCUGAUUAGCUUGUUGGCGGGGUAACGGCCCACCAAGGCAACGAUCAGUAGGGGUUCUGAGAAGAAGGUCCCCCACAUUGGAACUGAGACACGGUCCAAACUCCUACGGGAGGCAGCAGUGAGGAAUAUUGGUCAAUGGGCGGAAGCCUGAACCAGCCAAGUAGCGUGCAGGAUGACGGCCCUAUGGGUUGUAAACUGCUUUUAUACAGGAAUAAAGUUAGCCACGUGUGGUUAUUUGUAGGUACUGUAUGAAUAAGGACGGGCUAAUUCCGUGCCAGCAGCCGCAGUAA
rnacentral:rRNA from 1 species